AAACCAAACACCAUAUGUUUUCACUCAUAAGUGGGAGUUGAACAAUGAGAACACAUGGACACAGGAAGGGGAACAUCGCACACCAGGGUCUGUCGGGCCGUGGGUAAGUGGAAGGGGAGGGACAG